rnacentral:tRNA from 1 species
CAAAAAGUAGUAUAUAACAAUUACGCUUCGUUUACACCGAAGCAAAGGCCUAUCACCCUUUUUGA